rnacentral:misc_RNA from 1 species
AAAAAGAAGAGCUGAUGGGUCGCUUUUCAAUAUGAGUACUGUGUCUCCUUUUACUAAUUCCAACCUUACCAAAUCAAGCACUAAUUUUUGCUUCUUAACAUCAUCUGCACUCGCUCCAAUCUAAUCGCGGAUUGGGAUUUUCUUUACUUGAGGGUUCAGAUUUGGUUUCACAUUUUGGAUUCUUGGAUUUCGGAUUUCUCCCACCACAUUUUGUCAAAAUGAUC